rnacentral:lncRNA from 1 species
AUGGCCACCCCAGAGGAAGUUACUGGUGGCCAAGUGCAGGGGAAGUCCUGCGGACCAUCUGCUACCGGCCCCAGCCCAGAUGAUACAGUUAGAACCUACCCACAGCAUCCUCUCCCGCCUUCAGACAGUUCCAGGAACAAGGGGACCCUGGUCCAGGAGGUGCAAGAGCAUGACCUGCAGUGCACGGCCCGGGGCCUGAUGACCAGAGCCACCGCCCCCACCGGCAACAGGAGGCCCUGGACCUCCCGAGCCAGGGGCUUCCUUGGGGCCUCCUUCUCCCUCUGACCCCCAGGAAGGGGUGGCUGGGGGCCCUGGCCACGCUGUGCACGUGCUGGCCACGCGGG